ACCCCUGUUCAACUGGGAUGCCACAGAUUUGCCUCUGGGGCCAACCUAAGCUGCAACAGAGCGUGGAGAAGGCUGGUUUCAGGUCAGAAAGCAGAACAAGCGUGAUCUCAUCCCCGUGCCAGUUUCUCCACAUUACAAAGUCACCGCAAGACAUAAUGACACAUUGUGCCUGCUCCAGGAGGAUGGGACUGAGGGCUUGUCUGCACUGCUUGGAAGAACGAACUGGAAGGAACAAACACGCACAAGCAAUCUCAAGAUCUCAAGAUGAUUAACAACGCUGGAUAUUCAUCAACCUUAUUUCGAAAACGGAGUAACUGUGAUGUAAUGAGAUGAAGAAAUUAACUUGAUAUCAUUGAAUGAAUUAGUGUCCAUACAAGGAUCAGAACACAUUUCCUUAUUCCUGGUGCCAUUCGUAAUCCACCGCACAAGAAUGCCAAAACAAUUUCUUAUUACCAUUCGCCAUGUUUCAACAGACUAGGGCAUCAAAGGACUAGGCAUUAAAUCUUCUUCACUUUUCAGGUUUUUUUUUAAGAAACUCUGUUAUGACUAAAAAGAGGACUUCAGCAGCUGGAGAAAAAAGCCCACGAUGUGCACUCUUUCACCAUAUUGUUCAUCUCGCAGGUCUACCUCUCUGUUCCCUCACUCCAUCCUCCUGAAGAACCGUGAGUCCAGCCAAGCAUUAAGGCCUGCAGUGACAUUGCUAUGACAGAUUUUUGCAGUUCUUGACCCUCGCAGGAACAUAGCACGUAGCCAACACAGCUGUGAUACCGGAUUCUGCAUUUGUUCCUGUUGAAUUUCAUGAGGGCCACUGCUCCAGCCUCAGUAUUUCUGAGUGGUGGUUCUGCGCAUUUUUUUGCAGUGAUAAUGAUUCAGAUUGUGGCUUAUUGCAACGGGAAUCCUUCAAGCACAAAGACAAUGCCUUGUUUCAAGGGUGGCUUUGCUUGAGUAAGGACUGUUAUUUAGCUUAGACUAUCAUGGCUUUUUAGGGGCUGAAAUUCAGAUUCUUCAAAAGCUCAUACAAAUUCAAGACGAGGAUCAUAUUUACGCAGAGGUGAUUUUCUCUACAUAUGGAAGUGUGGGUUUUGGUAGUCCUUUUAAGCUUCAGGAAGCCACUGAGGAGAAUAAAAUAAGAAUAUACAGCCAUGACAUUUUUAUGACAUCUCCUUUCUUGGGCCUUUUUGGGAGUGAAUAAUCAAAUCUUUGGUGGGUAGUUGGCAUAUGGUUAAAAAAUUGUGGUGGAAAAUGUAAAUGUAGGAAAUUGAAGCAACUGAUAUACAAAUCCAAUUUUCAUGGGUAUCCACUGGGUACUUCUCAGGUCCUUUGUGUUACCAGAAGUCAAUUUUUAGAGUCAGACUGUACACAAUUUCUGUAUUACUUCCACUUGAUAGUGUAGUUGUUCCAGAUAGAUACCAGCACAAUUAAGAACACUGUUCGUCUUGCAUUAUAUUUAGUGAAUUUGGAAGCAUUCUUGACAUCAAAUUUCUUUGCCUCUGUUGUUUUCUUCUAAGCACCUACACAAUGCACUAUUGUAUUUUUUUUAGAAACUCUGCUAAUAUUGAUAAAAUUUAUGAAGGAAAACAUUGCUGAAUUACUCUUUUCUUCUUGUUUUAGAACCCGUGAAAGUAAGCUCAUAGAACUCUAACACGCCUUUAACUUCCAUGCCUUCCAAGAUAUUCUGAUAGUUUUUCUUUGCAACACAGCAUGGAAGAGAUUGAGGACAAGUGCUUUCAAGUUUACUCAUUAUCAGAGCUGUGAUGUGAUCUUGUAAUUCAGGUUCUGUGUCAUUUGGGAAAAACUGUAGAAUGCUCAUCUCUGCCCCCUGCACCCACCCAGAUGUGGUAUCAGAUUCUGAUUGCUUUAAUCAUUAAAACUUUUUGUUAUUAUUUGAAUUACCAUACUGUCUAGAUAGAUUCCUUACAGACCAGAAUGUUACUAUGCUAUACGUUACCCAGCUUUUUCUGCUCUGUAUUUGUAGAUCCCCGAAUGGCUUAAUUCACCAUGUGUUAUUCCCUAUAAACUGUAACUUCAAAAUAAAGGAAGAGGGAUUGUUCUGCAGUCAUGAUCCUACCAUCAGUGCUCUGUCAUAAAGCUUUUUCUUUUACAGUUGAGUGGGCUAGUGCCAGUAACUACUGCAGAGAGGAAUUCGUCCAGGCUGGAAUGAGGGUCAGCAGGGACUGUGAGGGUGUGGGUUUUGAUUUUAGUAUUUCAGCAAGAUGAGGCUGAAAGGUAUUAAGUCUAAUGAUUUACAAAGCAAAAACAGGGUUACAAGGUUUCUAGCUACGUGCAACUGUAUGAGUCAUGGAAGGAAGUAAUACACGUUACACAUUCUACAGGGUAAAGUCAUAUGAACUUGUUAUUUAGGGUUUCUUGGUACAUAAC